rnacentral:rRNA from 1 species
UACGAAGGGGGCUAGCGUUGCUCGGAAUCACUGGGCGUAAAGCGCACGUAGGCGGUUACUCAAGUCAGAGGUGAAAGCCCGGAGCUUAACUCCGGAAUUGCCUUUGAAACUAGGUGACUUGAAUCCAGGAGAGGUGAGUGGAAUUCCGAGUGUAGAGGUGAAAUUCGUAGAUAUUCGGAAGAACACCAGUGGCGAAGGCGGCUCACUGGACUGGUAUUGACGCUGAGGUGCGAAAGCGUGGGGAGCAAACAGG